GUCCACGCCCUAAACGGUGCACACUAGGUCUUGGAGGAUUCGACCCCUUCAGGGCCCAAGCUAACGCGUUAAGUGUGCCGCCUGAGGACUACGGCCGCAAGGCUAAAACUCAAAGGAAUUGACGGGGGCCCGCACAAGCGGUGGAGCAUGUGGCUUAAUUCGAUGCAACGCGAAGAACCUUACCAGGCCUUGACAUGCACUUGACCGAGGGUGAAAGCUCUCUUUCCCGCAAGGGACAGGUGCACAGGUGCUGCAUGGCUGUCGU
rnacentral:rRNA from 1 species